GCCACUGUAGCUCAGGGGUAGAGCACUCGAUUCGUAAUCGAGCGGUCGUCGGUUCAAUUCCGACCAGUGGCU
rnacentral:tRNA from 1 species